AUAAAAUUGAGCAAAUUUCGUCGCUCCAUUUUAAAUUGUGUCGAUUGACGCAGGAGUUUUGUGAAGUAUUCGCUAUGCAACUAUUGGUGUGUCAUUCAUUUACCGUAUUUUUGUGGAUUUUCAAAUUGUUUUUGGAUUUUUUGAUCAUUCGACGGACGAUAAUGAACAAACUUUACGAUAGACUACCCGUAUUAAUUUGGAUAGCAUUCGUAAACACAGUUUCUAGUAUCAUAGAUUUGUCAUCUAUAGCUGGAGUUUGCUCGAAAAUUAAGUUGAAAUUUCUAGAAACCGAAAAUCUAACCCACAGAAUGUGUCACUGUCCGAAUAUCGAUUCCAGAUUUAUGAAAAGCAUCGAAAUGUUCUCCAUUCAAUUAACACAAAGCAAAGUUAAGCUUUCACCAUAUGGACUGUACGACAUCGAUUAUUCGCUGGUA